rnacentral:rRNA from 1 species
UACGGAGGGAGCUAGCGUUGUUCGGAAUUACUGGGCGUAAAGCGCACGUAGGCGGCUAUUCAAGUCAGAGGUGAAAGCCCGGGGCUCAACCCCGGAACUGCCUUUGAAACUAGAUAGCUUGAAUCCAGGAGAGGUGAGUGGAAUUCCGAGUGUAGGAGGUAGAAAAUUCGUAGAUAUUACGGAAGAGCACCAGUGGCGAAGGCGGCUCACUGGACUGGUAUUGACGCUGAGGUGCGAAAGCGUGGGGAGCAAACAGGAUUAGAUACCCGGUAGUCC